rnacentral:rRNA from 1 species
GCUCAACCGAGGAAGUGCUUCGAAAACUGGUAAACUUGAGUGCAGAAGAGGAAAGUGGAACUCCAUGUGUAGCGGUGGAAUGCGUAGAUAUAUGGAAGAACACCAGUGGCGAAGGCGGCUUUCUGGUCUGUAACUGACGCUGAGAUUCGAAAGCAUGGGUAGCAAACAGGAUUAGAUACCCUGGUAGUCCAUGCCGUAAACGAUGAGUGCUAAGUGUUGGAGGGUUUCCGCCCCUCAGUGCUGCAGCUAACGCAUUAAGCACUCCGCCUGGGGAGUACGAUCGCAAGAUUGAAACUCAAAGGAAUUGACGGGGGCCCGCACAAGCGGUGGAGCAUGUGGUUUAAUUCGAAGCAACGCGAAGAACCUUACCAGGUCUUGACAUACCAUGAGAAGCUUAGAGAUAAGUCUUUCCCUUCGGGGACAUGGAUACAGGUGGUGCAUGGUUGUCGUCAGCUCGUGUCGUGAGAUGUUGGGUUAAGUCCCGCAACGAGCGCAACCCUUAUUAUCAGUUGCCAGCAUUCAGUUGGGCACUCUGGUGAGACUGCCGGUGAUAAACCGGAGGAAGGUGGGGACGACGUCAAAUCAUCAUGCCCCUUAUGACCUGCGCUACACACGUGCUACAAUGGUCGGUACAACG